rnacentral:lncRNA from 1 species
GUUUCUCAACACCUAUAAGGUGGUGGAGUUAGGAGCAAUAUUUUGCGGGCAAGGGGUGGAUCUCACAAAGUACAUUCUCAAGGGUGGGGAGAAGUAGGAACUAUAUGAAAGGAGGUUAAAAAGAUUUUUGUUCUUUUCCUUUGAAUAUUUCUGUUCUUCAGUUGAAGAAAUGUUGUAUGACUGUAUGGAUAAGGAUUAAUAGAGUUGUUUUUAAAAAGGGUCUAAAAAGCAUUUACAGACUGAACAUAUACCUGUGUGUAUAUAUACCGAGAUUUUAUGUAAAAUAUUUAAAUGUAUGUAUACUCAUAGGAAAUGUCUAGAAGGAUGUUAAGCAAAUUGUUACUAAUUAUGUCCAGGUGGUGAGAAUUUUAGGUGAUUAAAAAAAAUGAUUGGACUUUUUAUAUCACUUGAAUUAUUCCUUUCAAUGAACACAUCUUUGCCAAAGAAAAGAAAAAAGUUUUUUUUGUUAUGUAGAAGUUUGAUUAUCUAGAUGUUUUCAUUUUUCAAAUAUUGAAUAGAUAUUACAAUAUUUGUAAAUUAUGUAUAGAAUGUAAGUGCUGUUAUUCUGUAAUCACCAGUUAGGAACAAUCUACAUUACUUUUGAUGCCCUUCGUCUCUCUUCUCUGAUCCCAUUCUGUUAUGUUCCCAGAGACAUAACUGCUACCCUGAAUUUUGUUUUUAUUAUUUCAUUGCUAUAGUUUU